GCCUGAAGGGGCGGGGUCAGGAGCGUGUGGGCGUGGCCUCCCCCACCCCUCGUGUCAAGCACUAGUGCCUCUUCCUCCUGCCCAGCCCUUCCCGGAAAUGCGCAGCCCUAGUCCUGAGCCCAGGGUCCUGAGCUCCCGGUCCAGCCUCCGCACUGAUGGAGACCCACAGCGGCCCUCGCUGCUCCCGCCUGCCUUCCGCCCAGCUCCGUCUCGGGCUCCCCAGUGCUGAGCGGGGCGCAGGAGCCUCCGCGAGCCUUUGGCGAGGAAGUGAGCACCGCCGUGCGUCCCCGGCCACAGAUGACCAAGAAUGAGAUGUCACCGUGGACUGCCCCUCCGCGUCCUGGAGAGAACCAAGCACCCUCAAACUUCUGUGAACCUUCGGCUACAAAACACGUGGUUCCCUUGCUCGGGGAGCUUGUGUCGACCUGAGGUUGUGGACGUGUGGAGUUCCUUCCCUCUGUCUCCCCCUCACAUCUGUGUCCUUCUUAAAUGUCGUCUUUUUUAGUGAAGCAUGGAUUUAUUUCCAGAAAGAUGAAAUUUCUGGGAUAAAGUAUGUGUCUGAUUCCACGUCUCUGCCCCAUGUGUCAUGGUGUCUCUCCAGCUGAGCAGGAACAAUGGGCACUGUGGGGGGCAUAGGGUGCCAGGAAGGACAUGACUGUUUCUAAAACAUAUAUGUCUCUACUGAAGAUAAUGUGAAUAUUUAAGGAAAAUUUAAAGCAUCAAUAACACCUGGCCUUCAUCUUAAGGACAUCAGACAUAGUAAACCAUUUACGUGGUACAUCACAUGUUCCAAAACUGGACCGAUGGACUUCGUGAACAGUGCUUUACAACAAAAACUGUGACAUACUUAAUUUCAAACAAAGGUAUUACCAUCCUCUUCCUCUAUUCUGUGUGUGAUCUACUUGGCAAACCCACUAGGUUCCUGACAUGAGUACCAGUCCCUGAUGCUCCGACUGCUUUUUCCACAUUCUGCACCGAAUUCAACAGCACCAUGGGGGGAGCAGGACACAGAUUAUGAUGCAGAUCCAAGAUAAGCAGUGAUUCCUGGGGUGCCUGAGGGGCUCAGCCGGUUAAGAGUCUGUCUGCUGUCUGUCUUCCGCUCAGGUCAUGAUGUCAGGGUCCUGGGGUCGAGUCUCUUCCCUCUCUGCCCCUCCCCCCUCUCAUGCACAGGCACUCUGUAUCUCUCAAAUAAAUAAAUAAAAUCUUAAAAGAAAAAAA